GCUGUGUGCUGCUGCCCGUGUUAACGUGGAGCAGGGAUCUGCAUCUCUUCCCUGAGGAAGCGUUCCUGCUUCGUUUCCCUUUUGGGGUGCUGGCUCUGGCCAGCAGAAACUCGGGGAGGCCCCAGACAUGGUGCCAGCGCCACACCGGCCUGGGGGACCCUUGUUGAACCACCGGACAUACACUGGACAUCUCUGCUUUGCAGAGCGAGGUGCUGGUCAGCCAGCUGGAACGGCAAUCCUGUGUGCUUUGCGGGGUUGUGGUGAGGACUGAAUGGGAGCCUGCAGACCACGUUAAGCAGAGGACUUGGCACGGAGCAAACGCUCAUUAAAUGGCACACAGUGAGAGAGAGAGAGGCAGAGACAUAGGCAGAGGGAGAAGCAGGCUCCAUGCACCGGGAGCCCGACGUGGGAUUCGAUCCCGGGUCUCCAGGAUCGUGCCCUGGGCCAAAGGCAGGCGCUAAACCGCUGCGCCACCCAGGGAUCCCUGUUUGGCGGCAUCCUUGACCUCUGUCCUCCGUGUACCAGUAGCACGCUCCAGUUGUGACAACUGAAAAUGUGUCCAGAUGCUGCAAAAUGUCCCCUGAAGGGCAGCAUCACUCCUUGUUGAGAAUCACUGAUUUGCCACGUUCUGGGCAUGGCAUGUCCCUUGUCCCUCGGUCAGGUUAUAAAUACCUUCGGGGAGGAUUUCCAUUAUCUCUACGAUGCCUGGAUACCGACGAUAGAGUAAAUGUCUAAUAAAUGUGUUUACUCGAGCCACUCAGCUCAUUUUCCUGGUUGUACCACCUUCAGCUGAGGCUGGGGAAGAAGGAAACUCUGAGGCCAUUAUUCAUCAUUGUCAGUUAGCAUGUUUUAAAUAAAUACUCAGAAUUCCUGGA